GUGGGGAGCAAACAGGAUUAGAUACCCUGGUAGUCCACGCUGUAAACGAUGGGCGCUAGGUGUUGGUGGUUAGUAGCCAUCAGUGCCGAAGCUAACGCGUUAAGCGCCCCGCCUGGGGAGUACGGCCGCAAGGUUAAAACUCAAAGGAAUUGACGGGGGCCCGCACAAGCGGUGGAGCACGUGGUUUAAUUCGAUG
rnacentral:rRNA from 1 species